GCCGAAAUGGCGGAAUUGGUAGACGCACCAGACUCAAAAUCUGGCGAGGGUUUAACCUCGUAAGGGUUCAAGUCCCUUUUUCGGCA
rnacentral:tRNA from 1 species